rnacentral:rRNA from 1 species
AACGGCCGCGGUAUCUUGACCGUGCAAAGGUAGCAUAAUCAUUAGUCCUUUAAUAUGGGACUGGAAUGAAAGGUUUAACGAAGAAUUAACUGUCUCAAUUUAAUUUUAUAUAAUUUAGCUUUUUAGUUAAAAGGCUUAGAUUUUGUUGGAAGACGAGAAGACCCUAUAGAGCUUUAUAUUUUAAUUUUGNGAAAAUUAUUUUGUUUUAUUUAUUUUAUCUUUAGNUUUAAUUAUUUUGUUGGGGUGACAUUAAAUAUAUAUUUAACUUUUAUUGUUUNGUUUUACAUUAAUUUAUGANUUGUGUGAUCCAAUCUUAUUGAUCGUUAGUACAAGUUACCUUA